rnacentral:rRNA from 1 species
AUUGAACGCUGGCGGCAUGCUUUACACAUGCAAGUCGAACGGCAGCGGGGAGGCGCUUGCUUCUCUGCCGGCGAGUGGCGAACGGGUGAGUAAUACAUCGGAACGUGUCGAGAAGAGGGGGAUAACCACCCGAAAGGGUGGCUAAUACCGCAUAAAUUCUGAGGAAGAAAGCUGGGGACCUAGGAAUAGGCCUAGCGCUUUUUGAGCGGCCGAUGUCGGAUUAGCUAGUUGGUGAGGUAAAGGCUCACCAAGGCGAAGAUCUGUAGCGGGUCUGAGAGGAUGAUCCGCCACACUGGGACUGAGACACGGCCCAGACUCCUACGGGAGGCAGCAGUGGGGAAUGUUGGACAAUGGGGGCAACCCUGAUCCAGCCAUGCCGCGUGUAUGAAGAAGGCCUUAGGGUUGUAAAGUACUUUUGUUAGGGAAGAAAAGUCAGCUGUGAAUAAUGGCUGAUACUGACGGUACCUAAAGAAUAAGCACCGGCUAACUACGUG